rnacentral:rRNA from 1 species
UACGUAGGGAGCAAGCGUUAUCCGGAUUUAUUGGGUGUAAAGGGUGCGUAGACGGGAAGGCAAGUUGGUGGUGAAAUCCCUCGGCUUAACUGAGGAACUGCAACCAAAACUAUCUUUCUUGAGUGCUGGAGAGGAAAGUGGAAUUCCUAGUGUAGCGGUGAAAUGCGUAGAUAUUAGGAGGAACACCAGUGGCGAAGGCGACUUUCUGGACAGUAACUGACGUUGAGGCACGAAAGUGUGGGGAGCAAACAGG